AGUGGGAUAGCUAAGUCAUAUGGUGGUUCCAGUCCUUAUUUUUUGAGGAAUAUCCAUACUGCUUUCCAGAAUGGUUGUACUACUUUGCAGUCCUACCAAU
rnacentral:pre_miRNA from 1 species